rnacentral:rRNA from 1 species
AGUUUGAUCCUGGCUCAGGAUGAACGCUGACAGAAUGCUUAACACAUGCAAGUCUACUUGAACUUCGGUUUGGGUGGCGGACGGGUGAGUAACGCGUAAAGAACUUGCCUCACAGUUAGGGACAACAUUUGGAAACGAAUGCUAAUACCUGAUAUUAUGAUUUUAGGGCAUCCUAAGAUUAUGAAAGCUAUAUGCGCUGUGAGAGAGCUUUGCGUCCCAUUAGCUAGUUGGAGAGGUAACGGCUCACCAAGGCGAUGAUGGGUAGCCGGCCUGAGAGGGUGAACGGCCACAAGGGGACUGAGACACGGCCCUUACUCCUACGGGAGGCAGCAGUGGGGAAUAUUGGACAAUGGACCAAAAGUCUGAUCCAGCAAUUCUGUGUGCACGAUGACGUUUUUCGGAAUGUAAAGUGCUUUCAGUUGGGAAGAAAAAAAUGACGGUACCAACAGAAGAAGUGACGGCUAAAUACGUGCCAGCAGCCGCGGUAAUACGUAUGUCACAAGCGUUAUCCGGAUUUAUUGGGCGUAAAGCGCGUCUAGGUGGUUAUGUAAGUCUGAUGUGAAAAUGCAGGGCUCAACUCUGUAUUGCGUUGGAAACUGCAUGACUAGAGUACUGGAGAGGUAAGCGGAACUACAAGUGUAGAGGUGAAAUUCGUAGAUAUUUGUAGGAAUGCCGAUGGGGAAGCCAGCUUACUGGACAGAUACUGACGCUAAAGCGCGAAAGCGUGGGUAGCAAACAGGAUUAGAUACCCUGGUAGUCCACGCCGUAAACGAUGAGUGCUAAGUG